rnacentral:lncRNA from 1 species
CUGACAACUGAGAGGGCGGGAGAGGAGAGAAGAAAAGACUGCUGCAGAGACAGGAGCACAGGAACCCGGAGUUGACAGAGAGCCUGGAAGCAAAAGAAAGGAAGGAAGCAAAACAAAAAGACGGAUGCAGCAGAACCUCCAUUAGCCAGCCAGCUUGGGGAAUGAGGCAUUAUGGUUAAUGGAAGUUUCUAGUUAACGACGGGGACUAUGAGAUCUUAUGGCAUCUCAAAGGGCAGAAGUCUGGACAGGAAGACCAAUUGCAUGGUGGAGGACUCCCCAAGUAGACCACGUGUGUGCCAGCCCAGCAGGCAAACUGCCCUGUAUGUGUUUGUCCAUCAACUGUGCGUGCAGAGCUUUACUCGUGUGCAUGACACAGGAAGCCCACGGGACACUCCCCCAGCACGCCCCGCUUCCUCGGCACUCCUGGAAGGAAGACCUGUUCUUGUUUCUUCCGUACUCUCAGGAUCUGGCACAGAACCCGACAAAGGAAAUAUUUCAUGAACUAUGGCGUAGACCUGGCCGUGAACAAGACCCUGGGACCUUGUUCCAGAAGCAGCAAGGUGCAGCUUCUGCCCUCAGCAACCUCACUAAUGGACGCUGCACAGUGGGCAGCAAGCGACACCAGAGAGCAUCAGGAUUAGGAAGUCUGUUCGGAUUAGCAUGGAAUCAGAUAUGA